GAACCGGUUCUCGUUCGAUCACCGAAGUCAAGCAUCAUUGGGCGCGGUCAGUACUUGGGAGGGUGACCACCCAGGAACAUCGCGUGCCGUCG
rnacentral:rRNA from 1 species